GAGUAGCAUGGAUACGUGUCUGCCGGUAGAUCCCCCGUUGUACUUCGGCCGACUACCGGCGCCGUGUCCCGUCACUCUUGUGGCAUUGUCCCGAUGGAUUGAACUUGUGGCUUGCGUGCUAGUACCCGACCUACGGGAAAUGGUGCUUCGGAUAACUGUUGCCUCACGGUGGACGCCCUUUGGGUGUGCCAUUGUGACCGAAUAGCGCUUGCGGCGUUGCCUCGUACAACAGCCAUAUAAUGUGCAUGUUGAUAUCACGGCAACCUCGCUCUCGCUUUUGGUCUAGGAUGCUGCUCACGAUAAAGGCUCGAGGCCCUUCGGGUUGCCUCGAUCCGAAACAAUGUUCUCUCUCCGAAAUGGCGACAACCGUGUUCAUGUCUUGCCUCUACCUUCCACAGUUACGUGGUAGGAUACGCAACCCUAUGGAUCCGGCCCUCAUGGAGGAGGAGACAUGCUUUCUCCGAAAUGGCGACAACCGUGUUCAUGUCUUGCCUCUACCUUCCACAGUUACGUGGUAGGAUACGCAACCCUAUGGAUCCGACCCUCAUGGAGGAGGAGGCAUGCUCUGUCUGAAAUGGCGACAACCGUGUUCAUGUCUUGCCUCUACCUCUCCACAGUUACGUGGUAGGAUAUGCAACCCUAUGGAUCCGACCCUCAUGGAUGAUGAGACAUUCCCAAUGCUCUCUCUGAAAUGGCGACAACCGUGUUCAUGUCUUGCCUCUACCUCUCCACAGUUACGUGGUAGGAUACGCAACCCUAUGGAUCCGGCCCUCAUGGAGGAUGAGACAUGCCCGCUCAAAAGCGACAACUGGCUCGGCUGUUGCGUUUGUCUUUCCAUGCAAGUGGAAUUGCAGGGUAACUACCGAUGCUGGACGUCACCGAGG
rnacentral:misc_RNA from 1 species